rnacentral:tRNA from 1 species
CGCCGGCUUGGCCGGGUCGAGGCCGUAGUCCUCGAUGCAGCGUUUCCACGAGCGGGAGAUCAGCGGGUCGAAGCCGGUGCCGGCGA